rnacentral:rRNA from 1 species
UACGUAGGGUGCGAGCGUUGCCCGGAUUUAUUGGGCGUAAAGGGCGUGUAGGCGGCCUGAAAGGUCAGCUGUGAAAAUUCGAGGCUCAACCUCGAGACGUCGGUUGAAACCAUCUGGCUAGAGUCCGGAAGAGGAGUGUGGAAUUCCCGGUGUAGCGGUGAAAUGCGCAGAUAUCGGGAAGAACACCCGUGGCGAAGGCGGCACUCUGGGACGGUACUGACGCUGAGACGCGAAAGCGUGGGGAGCGAACAGG